rnacentral:rRNA from 1 species
UACGUAGGGGGCGAGCGUUGUCCGGAUUUAUUGGGCGUAAAGAGCUCGUAGGCGGUUUGGCAAGUCGGGUGUGAAAACUCCGGGCUCAACUCGGAGACGCCACUCGAUACUGCUAUGACUCGAGUCCGGUAGGGGAGUGCGGAAUUCCUGGUGUAGCGGUGAAAUGCGCAGAUAUCAGGAGGAACACCGGUGGCGAAGGCGGGUCUCUGGGCCGAUACUGACGCUGAGGAGCGAAAGCGUGGGGAGCAAACAGG